AUGGCGGAGGAACCGUCCGCCAAGCGUCACCAUGGCAAGACGUCGAACAAGAGCAGCAACCUCGUCGAUAUUCACGUCCCCGGCGAGAAGCGCGAGUACACCAAAACGCUCAAAGGGGUUGAGCUCCACGGCAAGGAGACGCUAGAGAUCGUCUGCACCAGCGUACCAGACAAGGCCGACGAGCUGAUGAGCAGGCUCAGGAUGAAGGGCGGUGGCUUGUAUCCGAGCUUCAUCGGAGUUGAUGUAGAGUACACCAACAAAGAAGAACCUCCACAGAUGGCGGCAGUCCUGCAGUUGUGCGUCGAGGAACUCUGCUUGGUAUACCACAUCGCAGCAGCCACAAAAUGGCCCAAGCGCCUCAAAGACUUCCUGCAGGAGGAGAAAUUGUACACAUUUGUCGGUUUCAGCAUUGGAGGUGACAAGCGGAUGCUGGACAAGUCUGGUUUGGAGAUCAACCCCAACAACUUCAUCGACAUGCAGCGCAAGUGGAAAGAUCCAAAGACCGAUAAAUACUACGACUCCUUGGCCGAUGUUUCAGGCGGCGUCAUCCACCCAUUCUACAACGGCAUGAAGAAGAAGAUGGACGGGGCAGACCACAAACUGUGGGGGACCAGCCCGCUGCCAGACAACCUCAUCACGUACGCAGGAAUAGAUGCGUACGCAACGUACAAGUCAUGGAAGACAAUCGACAACAUCGUGACAGGUUGGGAUAUUUCAAAAGAGCAGGAGGCUGACCCCUACUACCACUGCAACUUCACGGGAUGA
rnacentral:rRNA from 1 species